rnacentral:rRNA from 1 species
UACGGAGGGUGCAAGCGUUAUCCGGAUUCACUGGGUUUAAAGGGUGCGUAGGUGGGCAGGUAAGUCAGUGGUGAAAUCUCCGGGCUUAACCCGGAAACUGCCAUUGAUACUAUCUGUCUUGAAUAUUGUGGAGGUGAGCGGAAUAUGUCAUGUAGCGGUGAAAUGCUUAGAUAUGACAUAGAACACCAAUUGCGAAGGCAGCUCACUACACAAUCAUUGACUCUGAGGCACGAAAGCGUGGGGAGUCAAACAGGA